rnacentral:lncRNA from 1 species
GUCAGGAUAAUUGUUUUCCUCAGACCUCUCUGAUCCACUUUCAAUUAUUUCCCGCCUCCGGCUUGUCACCACUCUUUGAUGAUAUUCUUCUUCUCAUCACUGUCUGUGUCUCUUGCUUCACUUUCUUCCCUAUGAUCCUCAAUAUCUACUUCUUGGGAACUUUGUUCCCUUUCACCCUCACUUUCUCCAGGAUCAGGUUCUACAUGUAGUUCACCUUCACUCUCCACUUCAGCCUCCCCGUGCCCCUCCACUUCACCUUCACCCUCAGGCUCCAACCCUCCCUCCGCUUCAUCCUGAAUAGGGAUGUAUGAGAAAAAAAUUAUUAUUUAUUCAAACACUAUGUUUUGUAGGACUACAGCUCCUUUUGAUUUGGCAGAG